GCCUGCGUAGCUCAGUGGUAGAGCACUUCCUUGGUAAGGAAGAGGUCGUCGGUUCAAGCCCGAUCGCAGGCUCCA
rnacentral:tRNA from 1 species